rnacentral:rRNA from 1 species
AUUGAACGCUGGCGGCAUGCCUUACACAUGCAAGUCGAACGGUAACGCGGGGCAACCUGGCGACGAGUGGCGAACGGGUGAGUAAUGCAUCGGAACGUGCCCGGUAGUGGGGGAUAACUGCUUGAAAGAGCAGCUAAUACCGCAUACGACCUGAGGGUGAAAGGGGGGGAUCGCAAGACCUCUCGCUAUCGGAGCGGCCGAUGUCGGAUUAGCUAGUUGGUGGGGUAAAGGCCUACCAAGGCGACGAUCCGUAGCUGGUCUGAGAGGACGACCAGCCACACUGGGACUGAGACACGGCCCAGACUCCUACGGGAGGCAGCAGUGGGGAAUUUUGGACAAUGGACGCAAGUCUGAUCCAGCCAUGCCGCGUGCGGGAAGAAGGCCUUCGGGUUGUAAACCGCUUUUGUCAGGGAAGAAAUCUUCUGAGUUAAUACCUCGGGAGGAUGACGGUACCUGAAGAAUAAGCACCGGCUAACUACGUGCCAGCCGCCGCUGUAAUAC